UACGUAGGCAGCAAGCGUUGUUCGGAGUUACUGGGCGUAAAGAGUGCGUAGGCGGUGGCCUAAGUUCGGUGUGAAAUCUCCCGGCUUAACUGGGAGGGUGCGCCGGAAACUGGGCUGCUGGAGUGUGGGAAAGGCAAGCGGAAUUCCUGGUGUAGCGGUGAAAUGCGUAGAUAUCUGGAGGAACACCGGUGGCGAAGGCGGCAUCCUGGACCAAUACUGACACUGAGGAGCGAAAGCCAGGGGAGCAAACGGG
rnacentral:rRNA from 1 species